AUUGAACGCUGGCGGCAUGCUUUACACAUGCAAGUCGAACGGUAACAGGGUGCUUGCACCGCUGACGAGUGGCGAACGGGUGAGUAAUGCGUCGGAACGUGCCGAGUAGUGGGGGAUAACGCAGCGAAAGUUGUGCUAAUACCGCAUACGUACUGAGGUAGAAAGUGGGGGACCUUCGGGCCUCACGCUAUUCGAGCGGCCGACGUCUGAUUAGCUAGUAGGUGAGGUAAAGGCUCACCUAGGCGACGAUCAGUAGCGGGUCUGAGAGGAUGAUCCGCCACACUGGGACUGAGACACGGCCCAGACUCCUACGGGAGGCAGCAGUGGGGAAUUUUGGACAAUGGGCGAAAGCCUGAUCCAGCUAUGCCGCGUGUCUGAAGAAGGCCUUCGGUUGGUUAAAGGUACGUUUUAGUUCGGGGUAGGGAAAGUACCCCACGCGC
rnacentral:rRNA from 1 species